rnacentral:misc_RNA from 1 species
GUGGGAGGGGGCUUGCUCCCGAUAGCGGUGGGUCAGUCAACUUACAGAUAGCUGACCCACUGCAUCGGGAGCAAGCCCCCUCCCAC